UACAGAGGUCCCAAGCGUUGUUCGGAUUCAUUGGGCGUAAAGGGUGCGUAGGUGGCUCGCUAAGUCAGGUGUGAAAUUUCGGAGCUUAACUCCGAAACUGCAUUUGAUACUGGCGUGCUUGAGGACUGGAGAGGAGACUGGAAUUUACGGUGUAGCAGUGAAAUGCGUAGAGAUCGUAAGGAAGACCAGUGGCGAAGGCGGGUCUCUGGACAGUUCCUGACACUGAGGCACGAAGGCCAGGGGAGCAAACGGG
rnacentral:rRNA from 1 species